rnacentral:rRNA from 1 species
GACGAACGCUGGCGGCGUGCUUAACACAUGCAAGUCGAACGGAAAGGCCCUGCUUUUGUUGGGUUCUCGAGUGGCGAACGGGUGAGUAACACGUGAGUAACCUGCCCUUGACUUUGUGAUAACUUCAGGAAACUGGGGCUAAUACCCGAGAGAAUCUCCUGCUGCAUGGUGGGGGUUGGUAAGAUUCGGCGGUUGGGGAUGGACUCGAGGGUUAUCAGCUGGUUUGGGGGGUAGUUGCUUACCAAGGCUUUCACGGGUAGGCGGCCUGAGAGGGUGAACGGCCACAAUGGGACUGAGAUACGGAGCAGUAUGCUACGGGAGGCAGCAGUGGGAAAUAUUGCAGAAUGGCCGGACGCCUGAUGCAGCAGUCCCGCGUGCGUAAUGACGGGUUUCGGGGUGUAAACCAAUUUGGAAUGAGAUGAAGCGUGAGUGACGGUAAUGGGUCAAGAAGCACCAGCUAACUACGUG